rnacentral:rRNA from 1 species
AGCAGCCGCGGUAAUUCCAGCUCCAAUAGCGUAUAUUAAAGUUGUUGCAGUUAAAAAGCUCGUAGUUGAAUUUCGGGAUCAAUUAUUGGUCGUGCUAUUGUACGUACUGGUAUUAUUGAUUCCUACCUUCUGACGAACCAUGAUGUCAUUAAUUUGGUGUCAUGGGGAAUCAGGACUGUUACUUUGAAAAAUUGAGUGUUUAAAGCAGGCUCACGCUUGAAUACACUAGCAUGGAAUAACGAGAUAGGACGUUUGUAUUCUAUUUUGUUGGUUUCUAGGAUCGACGUAAUGAUUAAUAGGGAUAGUUGGGGGCAUUAGUAUUCAAUUGUCAGUAGGUGAAAUUCUUGGAUUUA